rnacentral:rRNA from 1 species
AUUGAACGCUGGCGGCAGGCCUAACACAUGCAAGUCGAGCGGUAGAGAGAAGCUUGCUUCUCUUGAGAGCGGCGGACGGGUGAGUAAUGCCUAGGAAUCUGCCUGGUAGUGGGGGAUAACGUUCGGAAACGGACGCUAAUACCGCAUACGUCCUACGGGAGAAAGCAGGGGACCUUCGGGCCUUGCGCUAUCAGAUGAGCCUAGGUCGGAUUAGCUAGUUGGUGAGGUAAUGGCUCACCAAGGCGACGAUCCGUAACUGGUCUGAGAGGAUGAUCAGUCACACUGGAACUGAGACACGGUCCAGACUCCUACGGGAGGCAGCAGUGGGGAAUAUUGGACAAUGGGCGAAAGCCUGAUCCAGCCAUGCCGCGUGUGUGAAGAAGGUCUUCGGAUUGUAAAGCACUUUAAGUUGGGAGGAAGAGUUGUAGAUUAAUACUCUGCAAUUUUGACGUUACCGACAGAAUAAGCACCGGCUAACUCUGUGCCAGCAGCCGCGGUAAUACAGAGGGUGCAAGCGUUAAUCGGAAUUACUGGGCGUAAAGCGCGCGUAGGUGGUUUGUUAAGUUGGAUGUGAAAUCCCCGGGCUCAACCUGGGAACUGCAUUCAAAACUGACUGACUAGAGUAUGGUAGAGGGUGGUGGAAUUUCCUGUGUAGCGGUGAAAUGCGUAGAUAUAGGAAGGAACACCAGUGGCGAAGGCGACCACCUGGACUAAUACUGACACUGAGGUGCGAAAGCGUGGGGAGCAAACAGG